GGAAUGUGGAAGUCUUUUUGUUUAUCCAGAAUUUUCCUCCAUUCGAGUGUAUCAGUGUUUCAUGGAGGUGGUAACUGAUGAGAUAGGAUGGCUUGAUUUUUAUGGUUCAUAUGUUCAAAUAAAUUGCAAGGAGAAAAGGUCU